UGCAUUUCCAUUUGUUACAGACACACACUCGUUAUUACAUAUGUUGUCCAGAAAGGGAGCACUACGAAAUUUUACACACACUUGUUAUUUCAUAUGUUGUCCAGAGGGUGAGCACUUUUAAAACCGACACACAGUCAAUUUAAAAAAUCCCUCCUUUUUGGGACAACCCUCAUUUUGAUACAUUUCACCACCAGGUGGUGCAAAUGAGACCAUUCUCUAUUAGAUGCAAUGGUUUUCCGUUUUGGGACCGUGAUUUAUGUCCUAAGUUGUUCACCGCCCCUCAUAUGGAAGGUACUUUCCCUUGUUGAUGUCUCAAGCAGGGUAGAAAUACAAGAACACACACAGACACACACACACACAACCACAGAGAAGGAAGGCUACUUUCAACCUCUUCAUGGACAAAUGAGAACAUUAUGAAGCACUUUGAAGUGCACACAAACAGCAAGCAGACAUAUUGAUUCUCAAGAAGCUGCUCACUUGUCAUAACUCACACACUUCCAUACUUACACUUUUGAGUGUUUAGUUCAGGGGUCAGCAAUCCACGGCAAUAGAGCCACAUAGCGCCGCCCUAGUGACUCCCUGGACCUCAUUCAGAGAUGUGUGAAAAUGGAAAAAGAUGAAGAACGUUUGUUUAAUUAAAUCCCACAGUUAAUGUUGUACAGAAUUCACUGAUGAGAGUAUUUGGCAAGCACUGUUUUGUCCUACUAAUUUCAGCGAUCCUUGAACUCAUCGUCGUUUGUUUACAUGUACAACUUUCUCCGAUGCUGCCUCAGAGAGACAUGUUUUAUGCCACUCCUUCCUUGUCUCCUUUUGACCACCAAACGUUUUAUGCUGUGCGUGAAUACACAAAGUGUCACAUCCCUUCUAAUGCGCCCUCAUCCUUGCGCUCUGCUUGUCGCACCUCGGGACACGCCCACGGUCGCGAACAUCCAGCAGCAGCCGCCAGCUGCAAUCAUUCACCGGCAAUCAGCGCACCUGCCUGUGAUGAGGGAGCUGCCUCCAUAAGCCUGCUCAACCUGCCAUCCCGCGCCGGAAUAUAGCCUUCUGUUCGCGUACAUACCCUUUGUCGCCUUGGAAGUGAGCUGUGCGUCUCGAUUAUCCCUGGAUCUCCCUCUGGACUCUGACUGCCUCCCUCGAUCCUUGACUUCCCCCGCUUUGAACCCGGACCUGUAGACUUCCCUCUCCCCUGGACUUAUUCAUCUCUCGUUCAACAUUUACGGAAAAGAGGAAGAAGUAGAAGAAGAAGAAGAAGACUACUGCAAUCGUCAUUUCUGGGAGUUGGAGACCCCAGUCAUCGCUGACGUCGCCCCAUUCCUAAACGCCACCAUGGAGGAUCAAAACGUUGGUGGAUCAAACACCAGCUGAAGCUUUUCAGUCCGCCGGAUUGAACUGCUGAUUGCUUGAAGGUAAACGGCGUUGCAGCAUAUCACAAAAGGGGAACACGAACAAAGUGCUGGCUUGGAGGAAGCACCAAACAGGAAGACGCUUCUGCAUCAAUGCCUGAUCCUGAAGCCAAGUGGAAGCACCUGGCAGGAGGGCGGCGUCCUGCUGCUCGCAAAGUCAAGACGCCAGCCGCGGUAAAAAUUCCCAUUUUUGGGCAUUUUUUUUUGGGCCUGGUCUAAACAGUGAGCCAAACUCUUUCCAUUGGAUUGUGCGAGCAGUGAGACGCAGCAGCUGAAAAGAGCCCGAAUUUAUCCGCGCGUUACGUAACUGCAAAAGGAAAAGGCGAGGCCAGGAGGAACAACACAUGACGUCAUGUGUUUUUGUCAAGUCAGCAGGUCAAACUUUUUUUUUUUUCACUCCAUAGUACUUCAACGACGUCAGAGUGAAAGCCAGAUAAUGAGCCCAAAGCGGCCUUAUUUGGGCGCAGCGGCACAGAAAAGAGGAAGGUGACAGAGAAGUACCAAAACCCCCACAUGCUGCCUUUUCAAGCUGCUUAGAAAACUGUUUUUCAACCACUGCGCCGCGGCACACUAGUGCAGUGGUUCACAAAUGGGGGUACUUGAAAGUAUGCCAAGGGGUACGUGAGAUUUAAAAAUAAAAAUAUUCUAAAAAUAGCAACAAUUCAAAAAUCCUUUAUAAAUAUAUUUAUUGAAUAAUACAGGGGUAGGGAACCUGUGGCUCUAGAGCCAGAUGUGGCUCUUUUGAUGACUGCACCUGGCUCUCAGAUAAGUCUUAGCUGACAUUGCUUAACACGAUAUGUAAUGAAUAAUUCCGCUGGUAAUCACAGCGUCAAAAAUAACGUUCAAAAUAUAAAACAUUCUCAUGCAUUUUCAUCCAUCCAUCCGGUUUAUACCACACCUGUUCAAGAAGUCGCAUUAAUGGUAAGAAGUGUUUUAUUUAUUGUUGGUUAGCCUCAGAAUAACAAUGUCAUUAAAAAGAAUAAGAGACUUAUUAUACUCUAAACAUUUUGGUCUUUCUUAAAAAUGCACGCAUAUAGUUGUAUUCAGUGUUAAAAAUAAAUGAUAUGGCUCUCACAGAAAUACUUUUAAAAAUAUUUGGCUUGUAUGGCUCUCUCAGCCAAAAAGGUUCCCGACCCCUGGAAUAAUACGUCAACAAAAUAUGAAUGUAUGUUUAAAUCAGGGUUUCCAAACUAAUUUUAGCUCAGCCGAAAAUGCAUGUGGGCCAGACGGUAAAAUCAUGGCAUAAUAACUUAAAGGGGAACAUUAUCACCAAACCUAUGCAAGCGUCAAUGUUGCAGAAAAAAGACCAUGUGUUUUUUUAACCGAUUUCCGAACUCUAAUUGGGUGAA